GCCUGGGUGGCUCAGUGGGUUAAGCGUCUGACUUCCGCUCGGGUCAUGAUCUCGCAGCUCCGUGGGUUCGAGCCCCGCGUCGGGCU
rfam:Felis catus isolate Cinnamon breed Abyssinian chromosome B2, whole genome shotgun sequence.